UACGGAGGGUCCGAGCGUUAUCCGGAAUCAUUGGGUUUAAAGGGUCCGUAGGCGGGCGUAUAAGUCAGGGGUGAAAGUUUGUGGCUCAACCAUAAAAUUGCCUUUGAUACUGUACGUCUUGAGUUAUAGUGGAGUUGCCGGAACAUGUGGUGUAGCGGUGAAAUGCAUAGAUAUCACAUAGAACACCGAUCGCGAAGGCAGGUGACUAACUAUAUACUGACGCUGAUGGACGAAAGCGUGGGGAGCGAACGGG
rnacentral:rRNA from 1 species